ACCUGGACUCUAAACAAUGGCAGAUGUGCUAUAAAGAAGAGCCCCAAGGUGAGGGUGUGAACCUGACUGCCCCUCAACAUCCGGGCAUGAGUAACGCUGCAGGAGAUGGGCUCGCAGUGGGAAUUCUGGCAGGCCCUGGAAUUCAAACAGUUCGGAGUUGGUGAGGUUGUUUUCAAAUGACGUGUUCAAUUCCGGGAGUAGAGAGAAUCUCCAGGGGUCCCCCCCAUUCCAUGGCCUGAAAUGGGAAGAACGAUAACUGGGGAAGAAACACUCCAGAUUGAGUGAGCACUGAGGCCUCCCUAACCCAAGAAUCUCAUUUCUCAAGGUGGCCCGAGGGAGACAAGGAAAAAUGUAGUUGAACAACUCCCUGGGUAUCCUUCCCCGGGUUGAAGCUUGCCUAACUCAGCCUCUGUCAAAUGAAACAAAUAGCCAGAAGGAGGUUCUUGCCCCUUUAUUUUCUUCAGGGAGAAGCGAAGGAAUCUUUCUGGAAUCCAAGGUGAAUGAUAAAACUUCGCCGAAUAAAGCCUGAAGAAGAGUACUA